UCUUUUAUUACAACAAUCCAGAUUAGAUUAUUGGUUAUUAAUUUGGAUUAUUUCCCAUAACUGCUAAUAUUUACUCCUUUUUGUCCCCCCAAAGUUAAAUAAAUGACCUCAGGAGCGUAAAAAUGAAACUUUCUAGCUUUGUAUCAACAUAUAAGAACACAGCAAAUUCUGAUAGAGUGAAUUAUAUACUUUCUUAAAAAAAAACAAAAAAAACAAUGCAGUAAUUCAUGUGAACAAAAUUCUUAGUAUAAACUUUUAAUCUACCUUCAGAGUACUGAUGCUAUUGCUGCUGACAUGUUCUUAAGAUAAUUAGGAUGAAUGCCUGGUACAAAUAAAUGUACUAUUUGCCUGUGAACAUGCAAUGAAUUAAAGAAAGACAACAUGUAUAACAACACAGGUUUAAUGUCUUAUGCAGUUAUAGAAUUCUAACAGCAAAGGGUUUUUGAUCAGAUCUGGACAGUUCAUGGAGUGGAAUGUAAUUUGUAAGCAUACUUUUACACUGUUUACACACACAUACAAGACAAACAUUAGCAACACAUGCUACAGUUUCAUCCAAAAAGGGAAUGGGAAAAGGAAGGCAUUUAAAUUAAAAUUCAAUAAAACACAGGGGAAAAUCCACCAGACAAUAUGAAGUGAAAUAAUGAAAGGCUCUAUCAAAUUAUAAGUUUUGAUAAGGUUUGACUUUUCAAAGUCAAAUUCUUCCCUACUCCAUCAUUGAUAAAGGAUGAAAAAAAAGUCAUGUCUAUUCAAAGUAAUUUCAGGACUCUACCUGAAACUUGCAGAAUCUUAAAAAGACAAUGUGAACAAAGGAUUUGAAAGGGAAAAGAGAUCCAAUAUGGACCAAAGUUAUGUCUACAUUAUGACCCUUGUCAGGUGAGAACUAAAAUACACACACAAAAAAUCUGGCUGCUUGAUAAAUGUCUCCUAAUGUGUAAGUGCAACCUGAAAUAAGUUAUGCAUGAAGAACCAGAGUUCUAGACAAUGCAUCCUACCAAAAUUGCACCAAUAGCUGAAGUGUGCUCUUCUUUUAUGUCAAGAAAAAGCUAUUAGCUUUCAACUUCUAGGUACCAUAGAACAAAAAACAAAAGCUUUCACCUAACUGCAUCCUUUUUGGUUUUUAUAAUUGUUAAGUACACUUGUAAAAUAUAUUUGGAUUUUUAGUUGCUCAAGCACAAAACUAUCAAAUAUUUCUUUUCAAUUAAGUGACUCAGUCAUUCAGCAUGCAAGAGAUACUUAUUUAUCUCUUUUAUAAAGUCAUGCUUCAUAUAACUUGUUUGUGCCAACUCUGUUAUGAAAGUCAAGAAAAUAUAAAAUAUAAAAGGAAUUUAAUACAAAAAAAUUUUCCAACUCAGUUUGAUUGUUCUGGUCGCUAUCUUUUGUAGGGUCUCAAUUUUCCUUAUGCAAUUAUCUACAAAUAGCCCCUUUGUCAGACAGUCAACAUUAUAACAUUUUAAAAUAUCAUUCUGAAACAACUUUACAAGUCUCAUUUUUUAUGUGUGACACUUUAUGUAGUUGAAGGGAAGGAGAGAUGAUCUGAAAAGGAAACCAUGCUGUUUAGGUGCUGUAGGGGAAACAAAGGUCAGUAGUAGAAAGAAAACAUCCAGGAGCUUCUCGGUUGUUCCCACUAUUACUUUUGGGAUCGCUCAAAAUCACAAUCUGAAGAGGCCACUAACCCUUUUUCCUACCUCAGGGAUAACCUGGAAAAAGGUAAUAAAAUGGAACCAGACUUGGUGAACACAGGGGUAGGAACAACCCGAGUGGGAGCAAAGUUAUCUCCUUACCCCAGGAGAGGUUCAAUCAAUGAUUUAGCUAAUAUAAUUUUCAUAGUCCCAGGGAAGAAGAGGAACAGAGUUAUACAUGUCAAGAUAUCAUCCUUAUCCACUAGACAUUUGAGCCACUAAAGAUCUCUACCAGGACACAACAGAACCAAGAUGGCUAGUUCAUAGCCACAAUUGGCAAUGAUGUUCUGUCUUUGCUCAAUAUAGAUAACUAAAGCAAAUGACCUUUCAUUUUUAGUGGGGUCAUAUGCUAAUACUAGAGUCCAAAAGAGCUACACUCUAGAGAAAAAAAAGUAACUCAUAUACCAGUAGUCUGUUUGGCUUAAGAAUCAGUGUCAAGAUUCUAUAUAUUGGUCUUCAAUUUUACCAAUAAUUUAGGGUUAGGGUCUAUGCUGUUAGUUCAUUAUUUCUGGUAUUGAGGAAUAAAAACAGUGUGUAUAUGAAAUCAUAGGUAAUUCAAGACACCAAUCAUAACUAAUAGUUGUUUUCCAUCAAGCCUUGCAUCCAAAGGAUUAGAACUGAAUCAACCAUCAAGUAAGUUAGGUUUUUUUGUUUUUUUUUUUAAUGUUUUUUAUUGAAGUUUGAUGCAGGCUCAAACUGGUUUACUAGGCUUUCUUUCACUCUUAAAAAAAAAGUUAGAAAAAGAAUUUUUAACAAAAUUUGAUUUAACUAAUAAACAAAGGGGGAGGAGGGAACUUUGUAUUAAGAGUUCAGCAAAUUAGUAGGAUGUGUAGAACUGGGUCAAGGCAUAAUUAUAAUUUUUAGUCUCAUUCAUCUCUGCUGUAACAAAGCAUCUAAUUUAGAGGGAGGUAGGCAACCUGUGGUACUUGCUGGAGGCACUCUUAACAAUCCCUAACAUAUGCUUAAAGGGAUUAUUGAUCCCCGAUCUAUCAAGAGAUAGUAAGUUUUG
rnacentral:lncRNA from 1 species